rnacentral:rRNA from 1 species
UACAGAGGGGGCAAGCGUUGUUCGGAAUUAUUGGGCGUAAAGAGCUCGUAGGCGGUUUGUCACGUCUGCUGUGAAAUCCCGAGGCUCAACCUCGGGCCUGCAGUGGGUACGGGCAGACUGGAGUGCGGUAGGGGAGAAUGGAAUUCCUGGUGUAGCGGUGGAAUGCGCAGAUAUCAGGAGGAACACCGAUGGCGAAGGCAGUUCUCUGGGCCGUAACUGACGCUGAGGAGCGAAAGCGUGGGGAGCGAACAGG